rnacentral:rRNA from 1 species
GACGAACGCUGGCGGCGUGCUUAACACAUGCAAGUCGAACGGAAAGGCCCUGCUUGCAGGGUACUCGAGUGGCGAACGGGUGAGUAACACGUGGGUGAUCUGCCCUGCACUUCGGGAUAAGCCUGGGAAACUGGGUCUAAUACCGGAUAGGAGCCAUUUUUAGUGUGAUGGUUGGAAAGUUUUUUCGGUGUAGGAUGAGCUCGCGGCCUAUCAGCUUGUUGGUGGGGUAAUGGCCUACCAAGGCGGCGACGGGUAGCCGGCCUGAGAGGGUGGACGGCCACAUUGGGACUGAGAUACGGCCCAGACUCCUACGGGAGGCAGCAGUGGGGAAUAGUGCACAAUGGGCGCAAGCCUGAUGCAGCGACGCCGCGUGGGGGAUGACGGCCUUCGGGUUGUAAACUCCUUUCGCUAGGGACGAAGCUUUUUGUGACGGUACCUAGAUAAGAAGCACCGGCUAACUACGUG